AACGAACGCUGGCGGCAGGCCUAACACAUGCAAGUCGAACGCCGUAGCAAUACGGAGUGGCAGACGGGUGAGUAACGCGUGGGAACCUUCCCAAUGGUACGGAAUAGCUCAGGGAAACUUGGGGUAAUACCGUAUAAGCCCGAGAGGGAAAGAUUAUCGCCAUUGGAUGGGCCCGCGUAGGAUUAGCUAGUUGGUGAGGUAACGGCUCACCAAGGCGACGAUCCUUAGCUGGUCUGAGAGGACGACCAGCCACACUGGGACUGAGACACGGCCCAGACUCCUACGGGAGGCAGCAGUGGGGGAAUAUUGGACAAUAGG
rnacentral:rRNA from 1 species